rnacentral:tRNA from 1 species
GUCCUCGUGGCCUAACGGAUAAGGCGUCUGACUUCUAAUCAGAAGAUUGCAGGUUCGAAUCCUGUCGGGGACG